CCUUUACUGCAGCUUUACAUUGGACUUUGACAAGAUUUGUGUAGGAUAGGUGGGAGACUAUGAAGCGGUGUCGCUAGAUAUCGUGGAGUCAUCCUUGAAAUACCACCCUGAUGUUGUUGAGGUUCUAACCUAGGUCCGUAAUCCGGACUGGGGACCGUGUAUGGUAGGCAGUUUGACUGGGGCGGUCUCCUCCCAAAGAGUAACGGAGGAGUGCGAAGGUAACCUAGGUACGGUCGGAAAUCGUACUGAUAGUGCAAUGGCAAAAGGUUGCUUGACUGCGAGACGGACAGGUCGAGCAGGUGCGAAAGCAGGUCAUAGUGAUCCGGUGGUUCUGUAUGGAAGGGCCAUCGCUCAACGGAUAAAAGGUA
rnacentral:rRNA from 1 species